UGUGGCGUUGAUGACAUCACGGUCUCCAUCAGCUGGGCCAUUCUCCUCAUGACUUGUCCAAGGUCAGCUACUUCCCUCCCGAGGAUACUCACCUGCAGACACAAACAAUUCUCAUCUUUAAAGAAGAAAAAAAAAGACUGAACAUGGGUGUGUGGCAUUAAAAAAAGAAAAUUGAUUCAUGGCUGUGGACGGUUGGUAUUAAAAAAUGUAACUUCAAUUCUUUAGAUUUAAGUGUAAUCAGGUCCACCAUUCCUGCACUGAUUUAGUUUUAUCUCAUUGAAAACUACCUCAGUGUUCGCUCACUUUCCACCAAGUAGCUGACCAAAUACCCAACUGAGUCCAGGCAGACUUCAGUGCGACAUACAUUAUAUACACUCUGCAGAGUGUACAGGACGUCAUCAUGAAGUUUGUAUUUUCAGGUCAUAUUUGGCUCUCCAGCCUGCAGUCAGGCACGUUAUCGCCGUGCCGCUGCAAUCGGUCAUUACGCUGAUGAUGGCGGUCGGCGUGAUUAGCCGCUCUCUGCAUGUGGCGUGUCCACAGAGGGCGCGGCCGGCAAGCCUCGCCAACGUGAAAUCACUCAUGUCCAAUCAUUGGAACAAUCGUGCACAUCAGUGCUACCGGAUGCACAUCAGCCCUCAGCAGGACGCACGACUCCAGGUGGGAACCGCUCCGGUCGCUGUGGGAAUACGGCGAGAGGUGAUCCAGUACGUUGUGAUCACGGCAGCGAAAAAGGUGGCUUCUCUCUUCAUGUCACAGGGUGACAUGGACACACAAUGUUUGGCAUAUAUACUGAAUACACAGAUACCUGCAGGACCCCCACACAAUACUGUAUACAGACACAUACAGAUAAAUAUUCUCUCUCAUUAAUUUCCCUCUCCUCUUCCUCUUGUGGUAGCUGAUGAAAGCUGGGGUCUAAACUCCGGCUCUGAUAAAAAUAGAAGAGCUGAGAGAGCGACAGGAAAGUCCAAUCUGACACGCUGUCAACAUGAUUCCAGUCCUCCCACCUCAGGGACGACCGUCUGUGGAGGACGUCAGACAAAACAGCAGCCAUGGUUAACGAGAACCCACCGCAGCCGCAGUGGAACCUGAAGUAGGAGAAUAAGAAAGCUGCCUCAGACAAAACCACGACGCUACCACAAGAGGAGGCUCCUGAUGAAGUCACCUCGACUUCCUUCCGCUCGCUGCUCCAAACGUGCAAGAAUUCCAGCUCGGGGGGGGGGGGCAGAAAAGUUAAGACUCUCCUGGAGAACGUCUGGCCGAGCACAUUCACCAACCGGAAACACCCCUCUCAAUAACUGCAAAUGUCUCCCAGUGUCUGCAAGACGCGUGCAGCGAUAACACGCACACGUUGCUUUUUGGUGGUUGAUUUUCUUCCCCGCUGUUCAUUUAGUAAAGGAGGUCACUGCUGCUGUGCAUACGGGUCUGCACCUAUCUCUCACUGUCGAGCCUCUUCUCGCAAUCACAAGUGCAAUCACUUAGUUUGUGCAGGGAAAGCUCUCAUUCCUCCAGCUCUCCUGCGUCGCCGCACAUUUCCACGACGCGGUACAAAGGUCACCAGUGACUGUAUUAAAGCCUCAAAGUCAUCUUCCGCCAGAAUAAACCCUCCAGCGGCAUAGAUUGUGACACGAGGUUAAAGGUCAAAGAUGAGAGGUCACAGAGCAUUGAAGCAUUUAUUGCUACGUUCACACUUCUUGUAGCUCAUUAAAACGCUGCAACUUUUGUGCGUUUCGGGCGGCAAUCAGAAAAAGACAUUGACCUUUGCAGUUGUUUUCUAAGAUGGCAAUAACUCAAGUUUAAAAUUGCAAUUUAUUUUAUUAACGAGUAUGGAUUCAGGUCUCAAGAGCCUUGCUACAUGCUUUUCUUUGAAAGAAUUGGUACUGUUGUAUUUGUUGAUUAAGAAAAAAAUAACACCACAAACCACCAAAUUGCAUGCGUUCUUUUGUGAAGUCAAGUGGGUCUAAUGGAUUUGUAUCCACAGUUAAGAACGAACGAACGAAAACUGGAGUGGAACAUUAGCUGAUAUUCAAUCCACUUGAGUGCAAGAGUUCACCACAGUGUCAAACAAAAAAGUUUUUCUUUUCAAAUGCUGUGUUUAAUGAAACUCUCCCCUGUGUGCCAAAUGGCAAACGGCUGCAUUUGUCAUUCAUAUUUGAGUUCAUGUAGAAAGCAGACAUGGUUCAAACAACCCUUUUUCAUCUCAGACAUGAUCUGUGUGGAUGGAUCCAAGAGAGGAUUAACAACCUCCAAGACCACGCUGAGACACUUCCUGUCAGACGCCGGUAACCCGCAGAGACACAGACAGGACAACAGAGCCAAUGUGCUUAACUGUACAGAUGCUGUGCCAUUGUCUGUGCCUGUCUUUUUUUCCCUCCCACACUGAUUGGCUUUUUGUUUUCUUCUCAUAAAACUACCUCCCCUCUCCCCCUUUCUCCAUCCAUUUCCUUUUCAUCAUGUGUCUCUUUCUCUCUCUGACUGAAUCUGCUCAUCCCAGACGCAGACAGAGGCUCAGCGGGGGGAAGCAAACACUCCUUCUCACCUGCCAAAAGUCUAAUGUCAAUUUAGCCACCCGCCAAUCAAAACCAUGGGAUUCGGCACGAGAGCCGGCGUGUCUGUGUGAACGGAUUAUUUCAAGCUGGACAUUGAAACUUCUUUCCAACACUCCCAAAUAUUACAUUCUAAAAUGCAACCGACCAGUCCCAGUCGGUCCGGUGUAAAAAGAAAAAGCCACAUAUGAGACCCUGGGGUUGAGAUUCACCAGACUGAUUAAAUUUUAAAUAUUGAAAAAUGUAAA